UACGAAGGGGGCGAGCGUUGUUCGGAAUUACUGGGCGUAAAGCGCGCGCAGGCGGCCAUUCAAGUCAGGGGUGAAAGCCCAGAGCUCAACUCUGGAACUGCCCUUGAAACUGUAUGGCUUGAGUAUGAGAGAGGUGAGUGGAAUUCCCAGUGUAGAGGUGAAAUUCGUAGAGAUCGGGAGGAACAUCAGUGGCGAAGGCGGCCAUCUGGGACAACACUGACGCUGAAGCACGAAAGCGUGGGGAGCAAACAGG
rnacentral:rRNA from 1 species